AGAAACUUAGGAUAAUAUCAAACCAAAGGCCUUCAAAGCCUUAAACAAGAGUUNAACCCUCUUAGUUUCUG
rnacentral:tRNA from 2 species